AGUCCGUGGUGCGGAUACUUUCUUAACAUUUUGAAAUGCUCUCAGGCCUCGUAAUGGAUUUCACCUUCAUAUUGUUUAAAAUUAGUUAUUUCUCGCCGAAGUU
rnacentral:snoRNA from 1 species